rnacentral:rRNA from 1 species
GAUGAACGCUGGCGGCGUGCCUAAUACAUGCAAGUCGAGCGAACAGACGAGGAGCUUGCUCCUCUGACGUUAGCGGCGGACGGGUGAGUAACACGUGGAUAACCUACCUAUAAGACUGGGAUAACUUCGGGAAACCGGAGCUAAUACCGGAUAAUACAUUGAACCGCAUGGUUCAAUAGUGAAAGACGGUUUUGCUGUCACUUAUAGAUGGAUCCGCGCCGCAUUAGCUAGUUGGUAAGGUAACGGCUUACCAAGGCAACGAUGCGUAGCCGACCUGAGAGGGUGAUCGGCCACACUGGAACUGAGACACGGUCCAGACUCCUACGGGAGGCAGCAGUAGGGAAUCUUCCGCAAUGGGCGAAAGCUUGACGGAGCAACGCCGCGUGAGUGAUGACGGUCUUCGGAUCGUAAAACUCUGUUAUUAGGGAAGAACAAAUGUGUAAGUAACUAUGCACGUCUUGACGGUACCUAAUCAGAAAGCCACGGCUAACUACGUG